CCUACGGGGGGCAGCAGUGAGGAAUAUUGGUCAAUGGACGAGAGUCUGAACCAGCCAAGUAGCGUGAAGGAUGACUGCCCUAUGGGUUGUAAACUUCUUUUAUAAAGGAAUAAAACGAGGCACGUGUGCCUUUUUGCAUGUACUUUAUGAAUAAGGAUCGGCUAACUCCGUGCCAGCAGCCGCGGUAAUACGGAGGAUCCGAGCGUUAUCCGGAUUUAUUGGGUUUAAAGGGAGCGUAGAUGGGUUGUUAAGUCAGUUGUGAAAGUUUGCGGCUCAACCGUAAAAUUGCAAUUGAUACUGGUAGUCUUGAGUACAGGUGAGGUAAGCGGAAUUCGUGGUGUAGCGGUGAAAUGCGUAGAUAUCACGAAGAACCCCGAUUGCGAAGGCAGCUUACUAGACUGUGACUGACAUUGAUGCUCGAAAGUGUGGGUAUCAAACAGGAUUAGAUACCCGGGUAGUC
rnacentral:rRNA from 1 species